CCUUGAAUGAGUAGGUGUGUCCAAACUGCUAUCAUUAUGAAUGUUUUUACCUGUAACCAGUAACAACUUGUCUUUCAUGUCCUCGCCUCAUUCUCACUGUGUCAGCUGACAGAAGACCUGACCGAGAAUCCUCUAUUCUGCAAGCUCGAUAACGCUGUCACAGCAUGUGGACCGCCCCAGCCUUACUGUUACACUGAAGAGAGAGCUGGAGAAGGCUGAGAGGGACCUGCAGACAGAGGCUUAAUGGGCUGUGUUCAGAGAGCCUGUACAGGCUACUGCAGGAGAUGAUCCAGGAGCACUGUGUCAGAAAGCAUCACUCUACUGUGCCUCCAGAGGACGACACGCUGGACCCUAGUGACACCACCAGCCAGGACCAACCUCCUGUCCUAGGACUGAGUGUCCAACAGGUGCUGUAGCUGAUGCCACAAGAGGAGGAUAUGUGGAAAAUGAAACAAACUGCCCAGAGAAUUAGAAAAGCAUCUCUGGAAGACGUGUUUCAGCCUCCUGUCCUACUAUCAGACUGAAUGGGAGGAUGAGAGUGAAAGGCUGAAGAACAUGAAGCUGUCUCACUUGUCUGGCCUUCUGGAAAGCGAAAGGAAAAGAGCAGAGAGCCUGAAGGGGCAGAGCCGUGAGUGCCGCCCUGCUGCAAAAGCAGACUCCCUGCUACCUCUCUGUAAGAGACUCUCAACACUUGGUUUGAUGUAUUCUUAGGUUUGUCUCACGGGUUGCGACCUUCACUCACGAUCAACGUGUUUUCUCCAGGAGCUGUUAGGAUGCAUUCAGAUUCUCCAGUCACUUAUCCUUGACCACAGGCUAAAAGCCCAGAAAUAACUUGACAGGAAACAGUUUGAGUACUUUGAGGCCAAAUGUGAGAUCAUCAUGCAGAAGAUCAGGUGUGAUUAGCCCCUCCUGUUUACAUCUACUCUACACUGGGCUCCUUCAGAUGCAGUUCACUGUUAAUGAGUGUGAGAAAUUGGUAUUUCAUGCAUGUCCAUCAGCAAUGUUCAGUUUUCGUGUCUCUUUUACAUUUCUUAAAUAUGUCUCUUCACAACAGAGAAGAGAUGUUGGAAAUUCAGCUGAACACCUACACAGCAGACACAAUAUCAGCCUAUAGAAUAACAAGGUGAGUCAAAUGCUGCCCAGCAACUCAAUGUCAUUAUCAUAUCAACCACUCUGGGGGCUCUCAACACCUACACAUCAUUCCCACUCAUGUUGUUCUUUUUGACAGCUUUGUUCAUCUACUAUGCCUUUCCUUGCCUAAACAUCAGACUGUUACCAUGGUUACUACAUGAAUAUCAGUCUGAAAGAAGUCGCUGUAAAAAAGACUCAAUAGUCUUUACAAGACAGAAUAUUAAAUACAAUUAUAUUUACACUUACUUUACCGGUUGUACAUGCUGUCGGUCCUUUUGGCGGUAGGUGGAGAUAGGGUAUCCACAGGAAAGCGUUGUUUACCAGACUUUUUGCAGUGCCAAUAGUUGACGCAUUGCACUUGAUGACCGAAGCACAUUUCCAGGCAAUCAACUGUUAGGGUUUGCCAUUUGUUUAGGCUCGCCAAUAUUGUGCAAGUCUUUGUCACGUGCAAAUUGUAACAGGAAUGAAAAUAAAAACCGGAAAUACAAACUAUAUACAGACAUGGCCGUGGAAAGUAGUUUGGGGGUGCAGUGAUUUAUUAAAUAUUUUAUGCCAAGGGGGUGGAUGCAGAAAAAAAUUAAUUGCCCCCACUGAAGAAGUCUGUAUCGAUCCGCUAAUACAGGACUAGUAAAGGCCCAGUGCACUACUUUUGUAAAACUGUUUUAACUAAAUGUAUUUGAGUGUUUUCCAGCAUUUGUAACUUGAGUCUGAUAAUUAUCUGUACAAAAGUUAAUUUGAUAAUAAAAAUACUUGC